rnacentral:rRNA from 1 species
GUUGGUGUCUAUGGUGAUGAGGGUCCACCCGUUCCCAUCCCGAACACGGUAGUUAAGCUCAUCAACGCCGAAGAUACUUGGCUGGAAGCGGCCCGGGAAAAUAGGACGACGCCAACA